rnacentral:rRNA from 1 species
CCUUAGAGUUUGAAUCAUGGCUCAGAUUGAACGCUGGCGGCAGGCUUAACACAUGCAAGUCGAGCGGGGGAAGGUAGCUUGCUMCCGGACCUAGCGGCGGACGGGUGAGUAAUGCUUAGGAAUCUGCCUAUUAGUGGGGGACAACAUCUCGAAAGGGAUGCUAAUACCGCAUACGUCCUACGGGAGAAAGCAGGGGAUCUUCGGACCUUGCGCUAAUAGAUGAGCCUAAGUCGRAUUAGCUAGUUGGUGGGGUAAAGGCCUACCAAGGCGACGAUCUGUAGCGGGUCUGAGAGGAUGAUCCGCCACACUGGGACUGAGACACGGCCCAGACUCCUACGGGAGGCAGCAGUGGGGAAUAUUGGACAAUGGGCGCAAGCCUGAUCCAGCCAUGCCGCGUGUGUGAAGAAGGCCUUAUGGUUGUAAAGCACUUUAAGCGAGGAGGAGGCUACUUUAGAUAAUACCUAGAGAUAGUGGACGUUACUCGCAGAAUAAGCACCGGCUAACUCUGUGCCAGCAGCCGCGGUAAUACAGAGGGUGCAAGCGUUAAUCGGAUUUACUGGGCGUAAAGCGCGCGUAGGCGGCUAAUUAAGUCAAAUGUGAAAUCCCCGAGCUUAACUUGGGAAUUGCAUUCGAUACUGGUUAGCUAGAGUGUGGGAGAGGAUGGUAGAAUUCCAGGUGUAGCGGUGAAAUGCGUAGAGAUCUGGAGGAAUACCGAUGGCGAAGGCAGCCAUCUGGCCUAACACUGACGCUGAGGUGCGAAAGCAUGGGGAGCAAACAGGAUUAGAUACCCUGGUAGUCCAUGCCGUAAACGAUGUCUACUAGCCGUUGGGGCCUUUGAGGCUUUAGUGGCGCAGCUAACGCGAUAAGUAGACCGCYUKGGRRU